GUGACGCCCACGCGUGACUUGUUUUUCAAUGCGAGAAGACCGGGAGAAAUUGGGAACGAGAAACAAUGCAACAUGGCGGAAAAGACGAAUAGCUUUUAGCGAAGAUUACGUACUUUGUCACCAGUUACCGAACAAAAGUGGGAUAUUUGAUCUGAAUUGCCUUCAAAAGAUGCCCUCUCUCGCCUUGUGAUGUUUAUUUGCAACAAAAGUGGUCACAGCGCCUGCAAAGACAGAAGAUGGAGAGCCAAACUGAUGCAACAUGCUAAAGACUGCAUUGGUUAGUACAGCAGUAAACCAUUGUAUCAUGCAGGCCUUGGUAGGUGGAUGUGGACAAACUCAGGAAGGUGGCCUGUGGAUAAGCUAUGGUAUAUGAUCUGUGGACAAGCUAUGGUAGGUGACCUGUGAAUAGCUAUGGACAAGCCUUUGGACAGUUCAUCAUGAUCAGAGGAGGAUUGUAGAUCUGGGAUAAGAGUGGCCAGAGUAUGAUGAGGCUAAAAAGAAUGUGCUAGAUUUGAUGGUUGAAACUAUGACAGCAGGAUUUUCUCCCACCUGCACACGCUACUGUGGUGUUACUCGGCUGUGGAAAGUUCUGUGGCCGUUUAGGUCUCCUAACUUGGUUUACAAGCUUCAGGAUUAAUGAAAAUUUUGUUGAAG